GAUCUGCAGGUCAGUUAUUGGUCUUGGUUCUGAGUUUAUUAGAAUGGAGCGGUUCUAUAGGUGAUAUAUAGCAGGUCCAGCCAGCAGGGGGCAGCACCGGCCAUAGAGAGUCUCUGCUCACACAGUCUGGAGGUUUCUUAGGUUCAGGACUCUCUUCUUUUGAAAGACAAUGGUCCUUUCCAUCAAUGACCCACCAAGGAUGGACAAGGACAGAGACCACAUCGCUGCAAGGAUAUUAGACCUCACCCUGGAGAUCAUCUCCUUGAUAACUGGAGAGGAUUACACAGUAGUGAAGAAGUCAUCCGGUGAGUGUG